UUUUUUAAUUGAAAACUCGUAUGAAUGGUUUGACGAAAUAUUAGCUGUUUCAUAGAAAUAAAAAUAGAAAUUAAUUUUUUAGUUAAAAAGCUAAAAUAAUAUUAAAAGACGAGAAGACCCUAUAGAGUUUUAUAUAAAAAUUUUGUAAUUUAUUAAGAAUAUUUAAAAUUUUAUUAUUAUUUAUAUUUUGUUGGGGUGACAAUAAAAUUUAAAAACCUUUUAUUUUUUAUAAACAAUGAUUUUUGGUUUAUUGAUCCAUUAUUAGUGAUUAUAAGAUUAAAUUACCUUAGGGAUAACAGCGUAAUUUUUUUGUAGAGUUCUUAUCGAUAAAAAUUUUUGC
rnacentral:rRNA from 1 species